AUGGCGGCGCGGGGAACUGCAGGCGGCAGCACGGCGGUGGUCGUGGGCGUGCUGCUCGUCUGCGCGUUCCUCCAUGCGGGGGUGGCGGAGUCGGCGGAGUUCACCGUCGGCGACGGCGGCGGCUGGUCCGUCAACGCCGGCUCCUGGCCCAACGGCAAGCGCUUCAAGGGCCGCGACGUCCUUGUGUUCAAUUACGACCCGACGGCGCACAACGUGGUGGCCGUGUCAGCGGAGGGGUACCGGGCGUGCGCCGCGCCGAGCGGCGCCAAGGUGAACAAGUCCGGGGCCGACCGCGUCACGCUCGCCCUCGGCCCAAACUACUUCAUCUCCAGCGUCCCCGGCGACUGCCAGGCCGGGAUGAAGAUCACCGUCACCGCCGCCAAGCAGGGCCGCAUCGGCGGAGCGUCCUAA
rnacentral:rRNA from 1 species